CAAAUUUGAUUUCUCAUUUCCUCCAUUUGAAACCGGCAGGCGAGUCAGGCGACAGCAAACCCUGAAAUUUCCAUAUUUCCAUUCAAAGCAGAGCUGCAGAACAACAGAAUUAGUAGCUGGAGCCAGUGGACGGUUUGGUGGUGUCAUGGUGUGCGAAGUCAGGGACUAUCAGAAUCAAGGGCGAGGCCAUGGCCGCGAGGCGACGAUCUAGUGAGUUGAAAUUUGAAUAACUUGAAGUGUUGAAUGCUUGAAGUCUUGCUUGAGUACUGCAAUUUGCAAACCCUUUGUUGAUUUGUUGAUUUGUGCAAACUCUUUUUUGAUUUGUCGAUUUGUGCUUUUGCAACUGCAAUUUGCAAACCCUUUGUUGUCUAUUGAGUGUGUUGUGAAUGAAAUGAAGUAUGGUUUUACUUUCACCAUUUUGGAUUGCUCAACAAGGUGGAUUAUUAAGAAAAAAAAGUUGGGUGUAAUAGGGGACUCUAGAAUGGUUUAUUUGGAUUCAAGAGUUGGAGAGUGGAUUCCAAAUUAGAAUCGUUUCAUUAAAAUCUCUAAGAAUCCAAAUAUCAAGUUAACCAGGAAGGUGGCUGUGUGUUGUAUUGUUUGAAAUGACUUUUUGAGUAUACAAUUUUGAGGCUGCAAGUGUAAUCUCGUGCUACUAUUCUAUAUUUAUGUAGUCGAAAUUUUUCAUGAACUGGUGUCAUAUGAAAGUUAUAGUUGAGCUUUUCAUUUAUAGUAUGGAUUUUAAAAGCUCUUCCCUAAUGAUGGAUUUAAUGUGGAAUUUGAAUUAUUAUGGGAUAAAAAACCAUACCGGUUUUAAUUUUUCUCAAUUUAAAUCCUAAGCACAAGUGAGCUAGGACUAGUAGUUUCAUUUUUUUACUUAUUCAGUUAUUCAAUGUGAAUGCCGUUAAAUUUGUGACCUUCUGGAGUCUCUGCAUCUAAAGGAUGAAUUAUUUGUUUCUUUUUAUUACACAUUGACUUCAACGAGUUAGAAGUUGAGCAUAAAAUUCAAAUUUCCUUCUCACACUGAGAAGUUUUAGAUAAAAGAUUUAACUUGGCCUCAUAUAUUUGAUUGCUUCCCAAUGUUGCCUAGUUUUUGGAUGGUAGAGGAGAGGAGAGGAGAGGAGAGGAAUUUAAUCUUGUACAACUGUAACAUAAUAUGGAAUGUUCCACCUAUUCAUAAUUAAAAGGUCAAAGGUCAACGAUCCGCCCUAGCUGACCUUCGAUCCUGGAUUCGCCCCUGACUAUAUUAUUUUAUAAUGAACAAUUUGGAAUAUGAAUCGUCUAUGACUGUAAUCCGGUAACUCAGAAAGCCUUCGUUAAUAACUCAUUAUAAGAAGAAGAAAAAACUCUUCAUUAACUCAUACCAUGCUUAUCAUUAACUCUGUAUUAUUUGUUUGCAAUGAAAAUAUCACUUAUUAAAAGCUCUCUAAUAUAAUCUCUUUGUUGGUCUUGGUUAAGAAUGAAUCUUUAUUCCAUCACGCUACAUGUACAUCUUUGUUGUCUAUUGAUAAUAAGUUUGACAUUGUUGUGAAGUGACAAUUUUUUAUACAUUAAUUUUACAAUAUUGCUAUACAAAUAGGGUCAAUGACGGGAUUUAAAAAUAAGACACAAGUAUAAAACAUUUAUUAUACAGUUUGAACAACAGAGAAAGAAAAAGAGCCCCAUAGAUGUUGUCAACCGUACCUGUCAAAAGCCCUUGUUCAAGCAACAGUAUUCUUAAUUUUAACAAUACAUUUAAUAAUCAAUGACACAGAUUUUGAUAACACGUAUAGUGUAAAUCUUAAAGUACACCAAUUGUGUACAACUAAUUUAAUCCAUCUUUAUUUACAUGCAGGGGCGGAGUCAUAUACAGUUGAGUGCACUCAACUUUGGGUUGCCGCUGCCCUAGUUAAAGAAUUAUGUAAGAAAUAGUGGCUGGGAGAAAUAGUGGUUGUGAGAAUAAUGUCCAUUGCCAUUCUACAGAUUUUUGGGAGAAAUGGUGAGUGAGAGAAAAAUGGACUGUUGGAAAAAAAUUAGUGAAAGUGAAGUAUUUUUCACCGUGUAAAAUAUUAAAUUAUUGAAUUGGCAAGUGUGUUUUGUCAUAAAAUUAGUUGUACGAGUUACUUUGUUAUAAAGAGAAUUCUUUUACAUUUCAAAUUUAAUCGUAAAUUUUGUCCGCAUUGAAAA
rnacentral:lncRNA from 1 species